CCUACGGGAGGCUGCAGUGGGGAAUAUUGCGCAAUGGGCGAAAGCCUGACGCAGCGACGCCGCGUGAGGGAUGAAGGUCUUCGGAUCGUAAACCUCUGUCAGCAGGGAAGAACGGUCACUGUGCUAAUCAGCAGUGAAUUGACGGUACCUGCAAAGGAAGCACCGGCUAACUCCGUGCCAGCAGCCGCGGUAAUACGGAGGGUGCGAGCGUUAAUCGGAAUUACUGGGCGUAAAGCGCUCGUAGGCUGGAUGUCAAGUCAACGGUGAAAUCCCCGCGCUCAACGUGGGAACUGCCUUUGAAACUGGCAAACUGGGGUGUGUGAGAGGAUAGUGGAAUUCCAGGUGUAGGAGUGAAAUCCGUAGAUAUCUGGAGGAACAUCAGUGGCGAAGGCGACUAUCUGGCACAUAACUGACGCUGAGGAGCGAAAGCGUGGGUAGCAAACAGGAUUAGAUACCCUUGUAGUC
rnacentral:rRNA from 1 species